rnacentral:rRNA from 1 species
CGGGACGGGUGAGUAAUGUCUGGGGAACUGCCUGAUGGAGGGGGGUAACUACUGGAAACGGUAGCUAAUACCGCAUAACGUCGCAAGACCAAAGAGGGGGACCUUCGGGCCUCUUGCCAUCGGAUGUGCCCAGAUGGGAUUAGCUAGUAGGUGGGGUAAAGGCUCACCUAGGCGACGAUCCCUAGCUGGUCUGAGAGGAUGACCAGCCACACUGGAGCUGAGACACGGUCCAG